GGAGAAACUGAGCAGCAGGCAUGAAAUGGCCCAGGACUAACCAAUUUCUCACAUGGUAGUUGUGGCAGCUGCUCCAGGCACAGCAGCCAAUCAACCUCAGCUGGAACAGCUUCCUGGAGACUGGCCACCUAAGAAGGCAAUUGCAGAUGGAUCUUCAUUGCUAUUUGCCACCUGCAGGGCUGUGUUGUGAUCAGCAGUCUAACAAAUCCAACAGUGUAACAGCUCAACAGCUAUUCAGUCAGAAGUAUCUUCUUGCCUGCUUCCUUGAAGGGCAGUGACAGCACAAGAUCUUUGGACCAGUUGAGAAAGAAGAGGAGAGUGGAGACGGAGGAGGAGUUGCUGCAGCAGCAGCAGUGACUAGUGGGUGAGCAGUGCCUGUGCAGAGUUCAUCCAGUGAGGCGGGGAAGGACACAGGGAAAAACUUAGUGGGGGAGAGAAGAGGACUCUGGAAGGUGAGGAUACCAUCUGUGGUGGUGAAGGCUUGGUAAUGGUGCCUGCCACCUCCCCUACCCACCACCAGAAGCAGCUGCCUCAUUUUGCUACAUAGAAGGACUGGACUUGCUUAUCCGUUUGUAUUAUGCAUUUUCUUGUAUUUUAAAUCAACUUUGAUCCUUGACUCCUGA